GAUGAACGCUGGCGGCGUGCCUAAUACAUGCAAGUCGAGCGAACAGACGAGGAGCUUGCUCCUCUGACGUUAGCGGCGGACGGGUGAGUAACACGUGGAUAACCUCCCUAUAAGACUGGGAUAACUUCGGGAAACCGGAGCUAAUACCGGAUAAUAUAUUUAACCGCAUGGUUCAAUAGUGAAAGACUGUUUUUCUGUCACUUAUAGAUGGAUCCGCGCCGCAUUAGCUAGUUGGUACGGUAACGGCUUACCAAGGCGACGAUGCGUAGCCGACCUGAGAGGGUGGUCGGCCACACUGGAGCUGGAACACGGUCAAGACUCCUACGGGAGGCAGCAGUAGGGAAUCUUCCGCAAUGGGCGAAAGCAUGACGGAGCAACGCCGCGUGAGUGAUGAAGGUCUUCGGAUCGUAAAACUCUGUUAUUAGGGAAGAACAAAUGUGUAAGUAACUAUGCACGUCUUGACGGUACCUAAUCAGAAAGCCACGGCUAACUACGUG
rnacentral:rRNA from 1 species